rnacentral:rRNA from 1 species
UACGAAGGGUGCAAGCGUUACUCGGAAUUACUGGGCGUAAAGCGUGCGUAGGUGGUUCGUUAAGUCCGAUGUGAAAGCCCUGGGCUCAACCUGGGAAUGGCAUUUGGGACUGCAAGGCUUGAGUGCGGCAGAGGAGACUGGAAUUCCUGGUGUAGCAGUGAAAUGCGUAGAUAUCAGGAGGAAUACCGAUGGCGAAGGCAGGUCUCUGGGCUGACACUGACGCUGAGGCGCGAAAGCCAGGGGAGCGAACGGG